rnacentral:lncRNA from 1 species
UGAUGAUAAAAAUGGGAGGUGAGCUGAAGCCUAAUGCGUGACAGGAGAAUAUAAGGAUUGAUAGCUUCGAAUUUUAAAACCCUUUGGUCCCCAAAACAUAAAGGGCUUAUUGAGCUAUUGUCCCUUUCAUUUGCUUUGUUUGGUCACAAUUAUUGAUUUUGAAAGCAAAAAGAUGAAUUUAAAAGUUGAAAAUCAAAUGUCAAAAAUCAACAUAAAUUAAAGGUCUAUUUAAAUGGACAAUAAAAUUAAUUUGUGUAAGAUUACAAAAAUAAAAUAAAAUUUUUUAUUUUUGUCGAUGAAAUUAAUUAUUAUAAAAUUAAUAUUAAAAUUAAUAAUAUAAAUAUAUAUUUAAAUACAAAUGAAAUAAUGAUAAAAUUGAAUAUAAAAGUUAACGUUUUACCCAAAAAAAUCUAUUUUUCUAAGAUCAAAUGAAUCUCUUGUAGUUGGAGGCAUAAACCUCCCUUGAAUUUCUUUCGAAAGUAGAUGAAAUAUAAAUGAGAGCUAAAUAUUUGCAUAAUAAAGUUGAUUUUAGUGAUGGAAAUAGAUUGUGUCGGGAUAGAUUUUUGUUUAUUUUGAUUUUAAUUUAAUUUCAUAAAAUAUAUAUUCAAUUUUGAUCUAAUUUGAUAUUAAAAUAUUAUUUUUAUAUUUGAUUCAACUAGUAUCUAUAUAAAAUCAUAAUUAAUUUGAUCCAAAAUUAAUUUAAUAAUUUUAAUUCAAUAUAGUACUUAUAAAAUAUUAUUUUUUAAUAUAAAUUAUAUCUUAAUUAUAUAUAAAUAAAAUAUUUUUAUUAAAUUAAUAUGUUGUUAAGAAUGAUAUCAGAUCAGAUCGGACUGAAUUCAGUUUGAUUUUUUCAAAUAAUGCAUAAUAUUAUAAAUUUUUAAGUUCAAUCAGAAUUUGAAUCAAUUUUUUUUAAAUCAAUUUGAUUUAAAUUGAAUUCUACUUGUUGAGUUCGAUUAGUUUGAUUCAUUGAUUUUAAAUUUUAAAAUUUGUUUUAUAUACUAUUUUAAUAUAUUUAAAUAGAUUUAUAAUAAAAUAAAUAUUUUUAUUUUAUAAAAAUUAAUAAAAAUAUAUAAUUUAAUUUGAUUCAGUUUUUUUUUUAUAUAUCUCAAUUCGAAAUUUGAUCCAAAUUUAAUAUAUAUAUUUAAUAUAUGAGUUUGAUCUGAAUGAAUGACAAAAAAUAAUUUAAAAUAAAUCAAAUAUUAUAAUUUCAAAUAAUUUUUUAUUUUUUCAAAUUUUUUUCUGACCGUGUUUGUCGCUCAAAGAACUCAUUCCUAGCUAGCUUUUGAGAAACUGAUGCGGAUUCGGGCCUUGACUUUUGAGUGAGUCAUGACCUGAGCAAUAGAUAGAACAGUGAAUUGGCCUCAAACUCCACCAAGUGGAGGCCCAAUACUUGCUCUAAUAGAACACCAACGUUAUCUACUGAAGCUCAAUGAAAAAAUACAUCGAGUUUGAUUCGGGAUUAGAAUAGCAGAGUAGAUUCAAGGCCCAGAGUCAGUUGCCUUCCAAUUAUCUUUGCUUCUUGGCUUUUUCCGUUUUCCAUUUUGUGGAUGCGAAAAUUCAUAUCAUAUAAAAUAUUAAAAUAUAUAUUUAUAUUAAAUUUUAUAUAAAAACUAUAUAUUAUAAUUUAUAUUAAUAUAAAAAAUAAAAUAUAUAAAUUUAAUUUUAUUAAAUUUAUAUAAUUAUUAUUAAAAUUUUAAAUUAUAUUUUUUUAUAUCUUAUAUUUAAUUAUAUCUAUAUCGUAUCAUUAUAUUAUAUUUUAAAUUAUCGUAUUUAAUAUUUUGUAUGGUUAACUUUUGGGCAUAAAAGAAUAAUGAAGUUGUUAAUGGUGUGUCUCUAUUUUAUGUUUGAAAUGGACUUGACUGGUGAUAGAAAUCAGAGGUGAGGUGAAGCCUAAUGCGUGACAGGAGAGUAUAAGGAUUGACAGCUUCGAAUGUUAAAUCCCUUUGGUCCCCAAAACAUAAAAGGCUUAGUAUUGACCCAUUGUCCCUUUCAUUUGCUUUGUUUGGUCACAGUUGCUGAUUUUGAAAGCAAAAAAUGAAUUUAAAAGUUGAAAAUGAAGUGUCAAAAAUCAACAUAAAUUGAAGAUCUAUUUAAAUGGACAAUUAAAUUAAUUUGUGUGGGAUUAAAAAUAAUAAUGACAAUAAAAUUUUUUAUUUUUAACGAUGAGAUUAAUUGUUAUAAAAAUAAGAUUGAAAUCAAUAAUAUAAAUAUAUAUUUAUUUAAAUACAAAUGAAAUAAUGAUAAAAUUGGAUAUAAAAAUCAACUUUUUACCAAAAAAAAUCCAUUGUUCUAAGAUCAAAUGAAUCGUUUGUAGUUGAAGGCAAAAUCCUCCCUUGAAUUUCUUUCGAAAGUAGAUGAAAUCUAAAUGAGAGCUAAAUAUUUGCAUAAUAAGAUUGAUUUUAAUGGAUGUCAAUGGAUUGCGUUAGAACGAAAAACAUCAUAAAAUAUAUAUUUGAUUUUGAUUGGAUUUGAUAUUAAAAUAUUAUUUAUACAUUCAAUCUAAUUCACAUAUAUAUAUAUGAAAUUAUAAUUGAUUCAAUUCAAAAUUAAUUUAGUAAUUUUAAUUUAAUAUAAUAUUUAUAAAAUAUUAUUUUUAAUAAAAAUUACAUUUUAAUUAUAUAUAAAUAUAAUAUUUUUAUUAAGUUAAUAUCUUAAAUUAAAAAUAUAAUAAUAGUUUUAUUAAUAUAAUACAUAUAUAAAUAUAAAAUUAAAUAAAUAACAUAUAUAUAUUGAGUUUGGUCAAAACGAAAUUACUUAAAACUCGAUUUUGAUUUUUUUUUUUAAGUUCAAUCCGAUCCAAAAUCUAAUUAAAAAAAUCAAUCUUAAAAAAUCAAAUCAAAUCAAAACCUAACAAAUUUGAGUAUAUUUAUCAUCCAUAGGGUCUAUUUAGAUAAACGAUGAGAUUAAUUUUAGUGAAAUUAAAAAUAGUAGUGAGAUAUAUGUCUGGAUACAAAAACGACGAUGGUGAUGAGAUAAAUUAUAGUAAAAAAAAUGAUCAUUAAGAAUAUUAGAUUAAAAAUUACAUGUAAUAUAAAUUUUAAAUUAGUUAAUAUUUAUAAAAUUAAUAAAUUAUUUUAAAAAGUUAUUAAAUUAUUUUUAUAUCAAAUAAUAUUUUUGUUAAUAAAUAAUUAAAAUAUAUUUAAUGUUUUUAUAUAAUAAAUUUAUUAAUUUAUUAUAUAAUAGUAAAUUUUAUUUUUAUAUUAAAUUAUUAAAAAUUACUUUGCAAUUUUUAAAUUAUUUAUAUGUUAAAUAAUAAUUUUAUUAAUAAAUAAUAUUUUAUCUAGAAAGAAAUUAUUUCCUAACUUUUAAAUAAAAAUAAAAUAAAAUAAAACAAAAAACAAAAAGAAGGGUUACAAAUGAAAAUACUUAAGAACUAAACUCCACAAUUUUUCAUUGGACCCGUAAAGGUCCAGUGUACAUUUUGAUUCCAUUGCAACUGCGGUGUGGUGCAUUAGAACUAAUUAUAUCAAUAAUUAAAUUUAAAUGUUAAUUUUAGUAUGAUUUAUUUAAUAUAAAUAUUUUUAUAAAAUUUUUUAAUUAUAAUUAUAGUAAAAUGUUUUCAAUCAUAAUUAUAAUUAUAAUAAUUAUUUUUUUAAUUUUAUUAAAAUUAAUUUCACUAUCCAUUUAAAUAAAUUCUUAUUCUUAGUGUGUAACUGGUACAGCAGUGCGAAGAAGCAUUGAAAAAUUGCCAUCCAAAUGCAAUAAUAAUGCAAUUUGUGGCUCUAAUCGUGCCUAAUUGAAACUGCUUCAAAUUCAAAUGAAGCUCUGAUUGGUUUUUCAGAUAUCAUUGUCGUAUUUAAAAAUGUAAAUGAUAUAUUAUUAUUUAUAAAUUAUUUAAAUUUAAUUUAAAUAAAAUUUAAAUUUGAUUUCAUUAUUAUCGAAUCGAGUUCAAGUUCGAAUAAUUUGAUUUAUCUAUUGAAUCAAAUUUAAUUAUUCUUAUAUUCAACUCGAGUUACUCACAAAUUUAUAAAAUUUUUAUAUUUUAAUAUAUUUUAAUUAUUAAAAUAUUUUAAAUUCAAAUUUAAAUUCAAACACAAAUAAUUAAAUUUUUAUAAAAUAUAAGAAUCAAUUUUAUUUUUAUAUAUUAAUUGAGUGAGCUCAAAUAAUUUAAUUUUUAUCCCGAGCUCAAAUUAAAAAUAAUUUAAUUAAAUUCAAAUUAAAAUUUAAAUCUCAAAUUUAAAAUCAAAUUAAAAUUCAAACUUAAUAUUAUUCCAAUUCAAAUUAUGUCAAUUACAUUUCUAACCGUACCUAUGCAAACAAAGAAUAAAAUCGUAAAACUCGCCUGUCCAUCGACUGCUUAAAAAGAAAAAAAGAACACAACUAAAUUCUAAUACUAAUUCCCAUUGGCUUACAUAUCAGCUAAUGGUAUACGUUAAACCGUUCCAUAAUUCAAAUUCCCCACGAAAUAUCGAUCUGUACGCCAAUGUUCGCAUUUUUUCAAAAACGCUCCUCCUUGAGCUGUAUUCACUCUGUCACUAAUUCAACCCCCAUUUCCUCUUUUUUUUUUUUUUUACGUUUUAGAUUUUCCGAUUCAAAAUUAAAUGCCCCAAAUGAUUACCUCUCUAAAUCCCUAAUAAAUUCCAUGUUCGAACACUCCUCCUAUAUUAAUUUCAUCCAACCUUAUAUUUUUUUUCAAUGGCAACUUCAGCUCUCAAGUCAACGACCAAGAGAACUUCGGUCGCCAACUCACCAGGUGACUCUUCUUCCUCCAAUCGGUCCUCCGUCCACCGUCGCGCCAGGAGUCUCAGCAGAUUCUCUCGCCGGCUUCCCGGGGCUGACCACGACAAUGAUGAGCCUACUCCGGCUCCGAGAAGCAGGGGGAGGUUCGUCAAUACCGUCAGGGGAUCGGGGUUCCCGGAGAUUAGUCUCGACGAUCUCACCAUCGAGCUCUUUGGCUCCUCCCUCAGGGGACGCUCUGCUUCCCGGAAUGGUGGCGUCAUCCCCCGUAAUGGUGAAGGAGGAAAAGGAGUAGGAGAGAGUCUGACUCAGAGAAGAGGACGGUCAGUGUCCAGGCAAGGAUCUAGGGGUAGUUUUGUAAACAGUGGUGGUGGAGGAAGGUUAACUUCGGACACUGCUAACUCCAGUAGGAGAAGAUCGGUCUCGGCUGUUCGGUAUCAAAUCAGCGAUUCCGAGGUAAUAUUGUUAUCAUCAUCUUCUUCAUUACUAUUGUUUUUAUUCUUACGCGCGAAUAGGGGUGUAAUCAAGCUGCUGGAAGCUGAUCAAGUUUUAAAUAUCAAGUUUGAGCUCCAGAGAUAAAAAUUGAGUUCACUUGAUUAGACUUGUAUAUCAAAUAAAGAAAUGAGCUGAUUCCCAUACUCGAUUUCAAGCUCAAUUAUUUAUAUACAAACUCAAGCUCAAGCUUGAAUUCAUAUAUAUAUAUAUAUAUAUAUAUAUAUAUGUGUGUGUGUGUGUGUGUGUAUAUAUAUAUAUAUAUAUAUAUAUAUGUAUGUAUGUAUGUAUGUAUAAGUAAAACAGUAAUUUUUAAUAAAAUAAUUAAAAUAUAUAUUAAAAUAUAAAAGCUCGAUUAGAUUUAUGAGUUACUCGAGUUGGAUAUUAAGAAGCUCGAACUUGACUUACUCGAUAAGCCGAAUUUCUCAACUCAAUAAUGAUAGAGUUGAAUUCCAGUUUUAUCUAAGUCAAGCCUAAAUAACUUGCGAGCAUUAAUAUAUCAUUUACACCUUAUGUGCGAACUCAUUAUUUAGAAGAAUUCUUUAGUCAUAUUAGAAUGUUUGGUCGUGUAAAUGCUUAGUGGUCUAGUCUUGUUGUAUAAAUUUGGACGUUGUAACGAGACAUCAUCCAGCGACUGGACUUCGCUAUCCGCCUGCUUGUUUUGCUUAACUUGGACUCAAAUAUCAAUUUAUGCGGACAAGCCAAGUAAAAACUUUUCUCAUCUAGAGCAUGCACUUGUAACAUCUCCUUAAUGGCAUUUCUUGGUUGAAGUUUAAAUACAUUGGCGAAAAUGAGAAUAAUGUGGGAUUAUUUUGUAAGGACUUCUGGCUUCAUUUUUAAGUAUUCAAUAACUAUCAAACUCUUUGUGGUAUUGUAAGUGUCCUUGCCAAGUUUAUGUUCCGGAACUAUAAGUUUAAGUUCAUUCAUUGGCAUUUGUUUUCUGGAUUUUUAUGAUUUAGAUGACUAAUCAAUUUCCUUUACUUAAAUAGUAGAUAAUCUUUUAUCUGCCUGGGUAGUUUUGCUUUGCAUUUGAAGAAAGUAAAUGAGGACCUUUGGAAGUUUUGCACGAUUAGUCAAAUAUGUUUAUUUUCUUUUACCUAUAUUAAAGAUGAAGUAUCAUUGAUGAUAGAUAGUAAUUACUACUGCAAUUGAUCAACUUGAAUGGUAUGUUUGGCUUUAAUUAAACCUGUUGUUUUUUCAUCAUACUAAGAAAAAUAAUCAAAACACUAAUUUGUUGAUUUGCAUAAAUUCCUUGUUCCUAAAUAUGGCAGAGUGAUCUAGAUCUUUCACAGAACUCAAGCAAUCGUGCUAGUAUGAGAAGUUCCAUUGGUGGAAACAAUCAGAUAUCCUCCACUCAUAACCCAACAGCUUCAAAUAAUAGACAAGGCCUGAGAAAGUCUCUCAGCCAAAAGGACUUAAAGUCUCAUGAUGACUACUCUGUAAGCAUUAUCUAUCUCCUGGAAAAUUAUAGUUCUAACUUUUAUUAUCACCACUUAGUUAGUGGAAUUUUUAUAUAAGGAUGCUAUUUAGUGGUUGGGUUAAUCCUCACUAUACCUGGAUAUCUGUUAGCAUCUUUCAAACUCAUUUUUGUCAAAUUUGUUUCAUAAGCUUAAUGAAAUUUAUACAUGUAUGGAAUCAGAGCCACUCUGCUGCUUUAACUGAUGAUGAAGGGAGGGAUGCUGUUUUUGAUAAAAAUGGAAUGGAGAGGACAAUACGAACGGUUUAUGCGCAGAAAAAGGUUAGUUUUCUCUUUUAAAAGUUCAAAAUUAUAUAAUAACCACUGGGAAGAUGUUUAGCUAAAUCUGUCACUUUUACCCAUUAGGGAGAGCAUCCAAUUGUGGAUGAUGUGAAUGGUGGGUUGUAUGCCGCAAUGCGAAAAGAGCUUAGACAUGCUGUGGAAGAGAUCAAGACACAACUUUAACAAGUUUGUAAUUCUAUGUUCUGUCAACAUGCUUAAUGCUUUAUUUUCUCCUACAUGAGCAGAAUUUGCUUCAUAAAUUUUGACCACUAAACUUGUUGGAUGGCCUUAUGGUUUAUGCAGUCAAUGGUGAAAACAAAUUCCGGCAUAGCAAGUGAUGAUCGUUUGCAGCCUGUCAAUUUUGAUGCUAUCCAGGCUGUUUCUACAAUUAGAAGAAAGUACACAACAAAAUUGGAAAAGGUGUAAUAUCAUAUCAUAACCAUUCUAUGGUGCAAUACUUACCAUUUAAGUAAUGAUUAUGGUUACUGGUAUGGCACAUUUGGAAAGUCUUUGAAUGAACUAAUAAAUACUUUUAAUCCUUUUCUUUCUGUUUUCUCUAUGUGCAGCAGGAUUGCUAGUUGCGUGUGCAUGUGGCCUCUUUAGUCUUAAACUAUUUAUACAGUGCACUUUGCAGAAUUUUGUUGUUGUUGUUGAAGAUUUAUUGGUUUGGUUUGACUUAAUACGUUCAUUCAUGAUAAUCCUGAACUGAUGUUUCUUCUAGUUUUUUGCUUUAUAUUGGGAACCAAAAAUAAGCUCACAUUUAAGUUGCUUUUGAUGAAAAAAGAUAACUCUCUGUAGUACUUUUCAUGCUAAUUAAGUUAUUAACAUGGUUUUGGGUUUAUGCUUAAUGAGCUGAUGAUUGUUAAUCUACAUUAAUUGCUUUGAUGCUAUUUAUUUCCCUAAUUGAUGCCUCAUGUUUUGAUUUGAUAGUCAGAGAAGCAUAGUCAAGAUUUAGCUGAGAUUAUGUUGGAGGAGCAGCAUGGGAGAGAGCUCUCUAAAAUUGUCAAAGAAUUUCUUCCUGAACCAAAGAACCCUAUUUUUCAGAAACCUUUGCGAGCUACAAAGGUACAACUUCCUUUACACUCACUGCAAUAAUGCUGGACUUUGUACCCUCUUCGGUUAUUUUCAAGUCCUCGCCUUUUAUUUUUGUUAAAAUCCAUUAUAUUCUUAUGUUCUUUGAUGUAAGAAAGGUGACUGAUAUUUCUUUUGAUUGUUUAACCAAUUUAUACGAAUUGCUUCCCAGAGAAGCAAUGACAGAAAUAGCAUGUCCAGGCAAUUGACCGAGGAGGCUGAAAAAUAUAUUGAAGAUUUCAUCUCGAACGUUGAAGAUACAGAUAUUUCAUCAUUUGAUGGAGACAGGAGUGAUACUAGUUCAAGUAUAGGGGGAAUAACAAAGACACCAACUUUCCAGAGUCGACCAGUAUUUAAAUCUGUCCCUGUUGAAAUGGAUGGUGUAAUGCUACCUUGGUUACAGUGGGAGACUUCUAAUGAUGCAUCUCCAUUAUCGCACCAGAGUAAAUGCAAUCUUUCUCAGGUAAUCUACCUGCUAAUCGCGAUGUUUGCUUCCUAUUUCUUAGUCAUUAACGUACGUAAAGUUUGCUGAUUAUGUAAUGUUGAACUCAUCUCUAUUGACAAUAGGAAGCACCCUCUGCGCUAGACCUAAGCAAUCAAUUUACCAGGAGCCGAGAGAGUUGGAGCCCAGCUUUGGCUGGUUGUCCUUCAGUAAGUACUGGAGAAGUUACAGGAACUAAAUUUGGAGAAUCUGGAAGUUAUCAAAGCCAUUUUUCUUCAAGUGGAACCAAUAAGAUGCAGUUCGAUGUAGCUGAUUAUCUCAACGACAACAGCAACGAAGCUUUUCACCUUGAAAUAUGGAGCCAACGACAUAGAAUUAGUUCAGGUGGUCUUCUGCUUUGUAACCGGAUGUUCGUUUAAGCUAUGCUUGGUAAGAAGAACGAGAAGUGAUGAUAAUGAAAAAUUUAUUAAUUUAAUAAUUGAAUUACAAAAUAAGAAAAUGGUUAUAAAUUUUAAAUAUUAGAUUAACAUGUUUUUUAUUCUUAUCCUUUUCCAUCUUUUUUAUCAGACAAAGCCUUAGAUUCUAAAAAAUAUUCUUUUUUUCUUAUCAUUUUUAUAUAAAUUAUCAAUAAUUAAAAAAUAUAUAAAAAAUUUUAAUUUAACAUUAUGUAAUUUUAUCACUUUAUAAUUUGACAAACUAUAAAAUUAUCGAAUAAGAUGUGUUUAUGUAAAUAAUUUAUUUUCAUAAGAUAGCUAAAAUUAUGUAAUAUAUAAUAUAACUAUAAAGUUACUUGAUAUGGUGUGCCAAUGAGGGUGGGCAGGUGAUAAUCUUUUUUUUUAUAUGUAAGGUGGUUAAAAUUAUGUAAUUUAUAAAAUUUAAAUAAAAGAUAAUAUUUAAAUUGAAAAUUUUUAAAAUUAUGAAAAUUUCUAAAGUUGGUGAAAUAAAAGAUCAAAUCUUUUUAAAUUAUUAAUUUAAAAAUUAUUUCCAUUAAAUUUAAUUUGUUUUUCAAUAUUUUCAUAUUGAAAAUCAAUUUCCCCCAUGACUCUUGAGAUCAAAAGCCUAAAAACUUAAAAGUCAACAGGUUGAAAGUCAUUGAAGAAGAUCUAUGACAGCAAACGGCAAAAACAUCAGAACCGGUGCCUAUUCUUUCGUAAUUAAACAGAUCGGCUUUUUAGUAAGCUUUCGAUUUUAAAUUUUGUAAAUGAAAAAAUUAAAAAAAUUAUUUAUUUAUAAAAUUAAUUUAGUUUGAUUUUAAAUUAAUCGAAAUUCAAAUUAUUAUCAUACACGGAAGGCCUAGAAAAAAAAAUGAAAACCUUUUUACUUUAUCCUCUCUCGUCUUUCCCAUUUUCAAUCCCAUCGUUUUGUGGUUGCUUUGGGUGCUAUUGUUUUCAUGUGGGCUAAUUAGUAAAAUGUUUUGUAUUAUACAUUUUUUAUCAAUUUAAUAUUUAAAAAUAAUAAAAUUUUUGUUUUAAUAUUUCAAAUUUUAUUUUAUUAAAUAUUUUAAUACUUCACACUAUUAAUAUCUAUUAAGUGAUUGAUAUGAUAUAAAUAUCUAAUAAUGUCAUCUCAACUAUUAUUUUCCUAAUAAAUUUUUUUUCUAAUUUUUCCCUUUUUGGUUUUAUUUUUUAAUUUUUUUUAAAAUUUUAAAUAAAAAUAUUUAUUUUUAUAUUUUUAAUUUUUAUUUAAAUAUUAACGUAAAAAUAAAUAAUAUGAUGAUGACUGGUUUUUAAAUACUAAAACCUUCUUAUAGGCUUAAAAGAAUUAAAGAAAUGCGGAUUAGCGAGAAUGAAUGGUACCGGAAGCAGUUUGAGACAGAAGGGGACGUUGUGGGCAGGGCCAUUGGCGUUGAGACACGUGCCUCCUCGAGAUUGGCCGCCGAGACAAUGGGAAUUGGAUAGAGAAGUGCUGGAGUUUAUGAGGGAAGCGCAUAGUUUACAAACGGUGAGAGUGGAUUUGGAGAAACUGGAGAAGGAGAUGAUAAAUGGUGAAUCAGAUAUGGGUUUAGUGAGAUACAGUGUUUCUUAAGCAAUAUAAAGAAUGGGUUGAUGAUAGUAAGUAUAGAUUGGAAGACGAGUCUUAUAAGCAGGCAUUUAAGUAAAUUAGUAUUCUAAAUCUUAGAAGUAGAUGAGGUAAUUUGUAUGUUUGUUCAUUAUUAUAAAACAUUUAUAAUUUAUGUAUUAUUAUUAUAUUUUAUAUAAAAAUUACGUUUCGACAUAAAAAUAUGUAAUAUAUAAUUUUGUUUUGAUAAAUUUAUUUAUAAUUUUUAUUAAAAUUUUAAAUUAUAUUAUUUUUAUAUUUUUUAUUUAUAUUAUUUUUAUGUUAUGUUAUCGUAUUAUAUUUAUUAAUUGACAUUUGAUGCUUUUAAAGCGUGUGAAGUUGAUCAUGAAUUUUGAUGGAAAUGAAUUCUGCUGAUUAGCGGAGGAACAAUUUUAACUUGAGAACUUGGCUGACAUUUUUCUGUAGCAUCCAAGGGAGACAUGCUAAUGAGUUUCUGUGCUGGGUUUUUUAAUUUGGAUUUAAGGAUUCGAAAACCAUCGAGGUGUUGUCCCCACGAUGAUUAGAAGAACAGAAUGUGAAAGAAAUUGAAUAUUGUUGAUGAUGUUUUUGGAUGUCUUAGCUAAAAUGAAAAAAGCGAGGUUGAAGGGAAAGAUAACUAUGAUCUGUAGCUAAAAAAAACACGAUCAGGGAUGCUAAAGUUAUUAUUUUAGGGUGCGCUUUUAAUACUUAAGUUAGUAAGAUAUUAAGAUUGACUUAGGAAGCAAGGAAGAUGCAGACGGUGAAGUGUACGAGAUAAGUUUUCAAAGAGAAAAGUCAAAGAAAAUUAGGUCUAAUUUUGUGUUAUAUUGAAUAUUUGGUUUCUUAAUUACUUUUUACGUGAGAUUAAGGUGAUAAUUUGAUUGAGAUAGUUAAUAAUUGAUAAGAUAUUUGUGUGAAAAUUCAAAAGGAUAACGUGAAUAGAUGAGAAUUAUAUUUAAUGAUCUUAAAUAAGUAUGGACUGUAUUUAAUGAUUUCAAAUAAAUAAAAUUUUAGUUAGUUAAAUAUGAAGUAUUGUCUUGACAAGUUAUUGAUAGGGUCUUAAGCGAAUUCUUCAUUUGGUGAAAGGCAAUCUUCAUAGAGAGGUGACGUGAUUGUUUAGGCAUGUUUCAUCUGAACAAUUCAAAAAUUUAACUGGAUUGAUCAAGUUUUGACGUUGACCAAUUGAUUUAUGUGUAACAAGUAUAUAUUUAUUUUUUUUGUGGUGUCAACGUGGUAGAAAAUCUUUGAUUUUCCUUAACUUCAACAUGUUCUAUCCUAAUUUGUUUGGCGUUUAGUCUUUUUCAGGAUUAUGGAUGCACAUUUUAUAGAUGUAUUCCUUGUUACAUAAGUUCUUUGAUUUCCUCUAGAUUGUUCAACAGGAAGCAGACAUGUGGAUGCUCAGUCCUCUAUUGUUGGUUUUGCUGUCUAGUUUGUUUGUUGAAGGGUGGGGAAUACACCUUCUAUUCUACCAUCCUGAAGCUGGUUGUUCUGGUUAUUUAAUUAAAAUAUGAUUUCAAAAGUUAAUGCAACUGAGAUAUUUAGUUUCUCCUAGUGAUUUUGCUUACAGAUUGUUCUAUUCAUUAUUUUGAAUUUCAAAUUUCUACCAUGAUUAUGCUUUAAUUUCUUUUUGUUCCCUUUGCAGUGUGAUUGUAGAAGACCUCCUGUUCCUAGAAAAGAUCCAGCAGCGAAACCAGAAGAGGAGCCAUUGUUGGCAAAUCACCCUUAUGUUGAUAAGGUAAUUUGCAGCAAUAUCUUUGUCGAUAAUUGGUAAUUUAGAUAUGAAUGCAUCUUCUUUCCUCUUUUUGGUAGGACUCAAACUUAAUUUUGGUAGCAAUGGGCUAAAUCUCUGGCUAAUAUGCUGCUUCCCAAUAGUUUGUUCAUACAUGUGCAUCAGUGUAUGCCAUGGAUGGGGGCAUUCCAAGAGCUGACGCACUUUCUGGUGACUAUUUGUAAAUAGCCUUGUUAACAAUGGUUGUUCCUUGGCUGACCACUUCCUCUGUAAACAGAAAAUGAUAAUUCCUUUCACUAGAUCCAUUUUUGUCUGUUAUGCAGCUGUGGCAGAUUUGCUGAGCAAAUGGUUUUCGAUGAUUUGGAGGCAAAUCCCGAGAAAUACAAAGGUUAAAAGUUGUCAGAAUUAACUGAUGACAAGGAUUAUGAUGAAGAAAACAAUGUUCAAUACACCAAAACAUACUAGAGGAAAAGCCUACUACCAAAAAUGAUUCUGGUGAGCCUUUUUUUUGUCAUUUUGAUACUCACUAAGCUAUCUGCCUAUAUCUACCUGCUAAUGGUUAUAUGUCUUGACAGAAAACAAGUGUUUGAGAAGUUGAUUUGGAAGCUGGCUUAGCUGGCCGUGAGGUAAUUAUUCCUUGCCUGUUUGCAACCUCUAUUCUUGAUCUUUUUUGAAGUUUUGCUCUAAUCUUAACAGAAAUUUCUUUUUACCACCUAAGACUUGGUAGUUUAUGUGAAAGGUGGACAGUCUUCUGUUCUUAAAUAUAUCUAUGAACAAGGCAUAUUGGGUUCAUGAAAAAGUUGUGUUGACAACUCCAAGUCCGAUGUCCGUUUCCUUCUGGUUCAUUCUGCAUUGCCUCGUAUUUACCAUUAUCUAGGCCUGCCAGGCUGUGUGCAAAAGCAUGUCUAUGCUUUGUGUGUCAUAAUUUCUACUGAACCCCUGAUUUUUUCACAGCCGCCAAGCUCUUGGUUAGCCAUUGGAAGAGCCAGGAAGAUAUAAAUUAUAAACCUCGCAGUUAUUUUAGGAAGGAUCAAUAUGAUCCUUCAAAUCCCUUGUAUGGAUAUGACUACUGGGGAGAACCCAAGAACUCCGAAAGGAGCAAACAAAAGAGCGGAUGACAGAUGCCCACAAGAAGUCCAUUGUGGGAAAGGGAACCGUAUGGUAUGAAAUGUCUUAUGAUGAUGCCAUCAAGCAGAAAAUGCGAAGAGAAGCUCGUUCAAAGGAAACAAUGCAUAAGGAAGAUGAUGAAGCUGAAAAGAGAGCAAGGAAAUGAUGACGAUUUUGAUUACAGCAUUCUGAGUGAGUGCAGUUUUGAGUUCCCAAAUCAACCUCUUGUUAAUGGGACUGAAUCUUCUAGUAUAUCAGAUGAGGGAAUGUUUGAGAACUAACGUUAGUGAAGGAUCAUUCUUGUAUAAUAAUUGAUUAUAGUGUACAGGUAAGACCUGAUGGGGCUCAAUCAAUGACAGGAGAUCAAAUUUUCACACACAGCACAGCAGCAGCAAGUCAAUCAAUGCCAAAAGACCAUUCGAAACUAACCAAUUUGGCAAGAAAAUUUCGAACUUAAUUUCCCACAACAUGAUGUAAAACAAAUAACCCAAAUAACAAUACUCAAUAAGGGUUUGACAUCUCAGUUGUAUAAACUGAAAAUUAUCAGCAUCAAAGAUGUAAUUAAUACAAAUCUAAUCUCCAAACAUAAAAAAUAAUUCCUAUAUAUACAAGCUUCAUAAACCCAGGAGUUAGCCCAUGAGAAAAUAAAGCCCACUUAACCCAAAGCAAACCUACUAAGCGAACAAAAACAAAUAAGUCCACUAAAAAAUUUGGAACUGUUCUAUCACUUACAUUUCUUCCGAUGGAUUGCUUAUGGUGACAAAAGGGAGCAACAUACAGUGCUCGAUGUCCGAUCAUGCAAAAUUUCGCACAACCGCACAUAAAUUUCACUCGACAAGCACAUGGUGAAAACAAUCAAUCAAUUUCUCCUUCCUCUACAUCAUUUACUGGCUCCGGAGCACUUUGGGGAGGUUCAUCUUCUUCAUAUUCAUCAUCUGCCUUCAUGUAUAAUCCUAGUUGUUCGAGGGGAUUACUUCUCCCCUGGAGUUUGAAACUUCCUAACCCAUUUUGAGAAUGACCUGGGCUUGUCUCCUCAAUAAAAUUGGGCAAAUUUUCGUCGUCGGUGGUCCUAAGCAUUUCCAGAUCUUCCAUAAAUUGACUGUUCUCAUUGAUAUCCACCGUCUUCUCCAUCUGCAAAGAGCAUAAACUUUUUAGUAGCAUUAAGACAAUGGCACACCACUUCUGCCACAUAAAAAUGAUAUCCCAAUUUACCUUUAAAAGUGCCUGACGUGCAGCUUCUCUGUCCUCCUCCCUCUUCCUUUUGGCUUCAGCAGCAGCGUCUGCUUCAGCUUUUCUCCUAGCCUCUUCAGCAGCCUUGGCCGCUGCUUGCAACCGUGCCUUUUCUGAUAACAGAGUAAAGAAAAAAAGAACCAUAGAGCUUCAGAUAUUCAGGAAAAAAAUAUUCUACAUUUUCUUUUCAACCAAAGGAACAUUAAUCCAGACAAAAAAUCAUCAAUGAUAUAAAGUCUAAACCUUCUCUCUGCCGCCUUUCAAGUUCCUCCCUCUCCAUCCGCAGUUUCUCCGGAUCACCCUUCUCACCCUGUGCUCAAUCAAGUUAUAAUUAAUUGAUUGGUUAGUCAGAGUUAAACUUUGAGUCAUUGACCAUAUUGCAUCUACACACAUCCAAGAAAAACUGAAUUAGGCUACUGCACUAACCUUUUCAAGUGCCUUUUCUCGAGCUUUAAGUAUGGUGUCAGCAAAACGAUUCCUCAAAAAAGCUGCACGAUAGAGCUUUUCAGGGGAGACUUGCCUCUCAGAUGGAGCACUAUCCUCUAUAAUAUUACAGCAUUAUCGGUGAGAUGAUCCCCAAGAGUAACAGUACAGAGCCUUCUUAAUUAUUAUGCUUACCCUCUUGGUGGCCUUCUACCUCAACAGCACUAGGCUUAUCAUGAGAGUUCAACUCAACUUGACCGAACUCGUUUAAAGACUCUGUAUGAGCACAGAAGAAUAUGACUUUUUUUUAAUAGAGACCCAAGACAGAUUUUUCAGCAGGCGUGCAUAGUGCAGAUAUACAAAAAUGAGAAACUUACGAUUUGCAUCAUCAAAAACAGCUAAACUGCCGUUCUUUAAGUCCACAUUUGUUCCUGAAUCCAAAUUUUCCUACCAUAUAGGGAGGGGAAAGAUAAACCUUAGAACUGUGAUACACUAUGUCUCAAACACACCCACUGGAGACAAAAAGGUGCACAUUUGUCUUCAAUUCACUAAAACACUCAAUUUACAAAUUAUCAAGAUAUAGAGAUACCUUCAUAGAACUAACAGGAAGUGAAGCUUUAGCAGCAUCUGAUUCACUACCAGAAUCUGAAUCUGAAAAGAAAUAUAUCCAAUGAAAAUGAUUGACUUUUAAAAGAAACAACACAAGUUUACAGUUGCUGUGAAGCAGGUUUGAUUUGCAGUCAAAAUAAUACGCAAAAGGCUAGAAGUCUUUUUCAAUUUACUGAUGCCAAUACAGAAUUAAGAGAUUAAAGUAAGUAAGCAAACCAAACAUAUAUGUGAUUUUUAUGGCUUGAUUAAGAUGGCCCCCCAAUUUUAGUUACAUCAUCAAUGAACAUGAAGUAGAAACUAGGCAACAAAUCUCAUCAAGCAAAAGUAAUUAACAAAAUGGGUCUAAUUAAUAAACUCUACUCUCAAAACCAGUGAACAAGAAACCAUCUGGAGCCCCAUUGGUACAUAUUCCAAUGAAGACCUAAGAUAAUAAAUUCCAUGCUUAAUAGUAAGAGUUCAACAGUCAAAAUCACAAGGUGAAAAUUACUCAACCUUAUAUCAUAAACAAAGAUGACCUCUUACACUAAAAAUAUUCCCUUUUCUUUUUUUUUUUUUUCAGCUCAUAUAUGAUGCCCCACGCCCCCACCAAGUUCCAACACUCAUCUGAGAAGUCUCAGCCUACUCUAAAAUCAAGACAACCAAAGUUACCUAAACACGGCAGGGACAAAAUGCAGAUGGAAGUAAAAGAAACACAAACUAUGGCAAAGCAUAAUUGAAUAGCAUUAAAUGAGUAGAAUUAACUUUUGUAAAAGUAGGAUUACUUAAAGAUUCAAUUCCAUCAAUGAAAAACGUUCCACCUAGAGUUGUAAUGGGAGUCAUUUUCAAAACUCAAAAGUCAACCCUAAAGAUUAAACUUAAAUUUUUGUCUUCAACAUGUUAGGACAGAUAUCAGAACUACAUAAACAACCUUCUGCCCUUCACUACAAGUUGGAGAACCGAGUAGAAAUCAAAUGACAGCAUAGAGUAGCAAAUCAAAACCAUGAAAACAUUUUAUUAACCAAUCAACAACAAUAAAAAGCAUCAGACAACAAUUUCAAACUAGAAAACAGUUGGCAAACUAUGAUCUGUAAAUUGUGAAAAAGCUCAACAUAAACAAGAACAUAACAACAGAACUCUUUGUUAGAGAUAACUUUCACAUAAAACCACAAACUUUUAAUACAUAACAGCACCCAGAUCCUAACCCAACAUAUUUUCCAGAUUAAAAGAGUUAAAUAUUUCCUAUUAAAGUUUUAUUUGAUGAUAAAACAGUUAGAGCGUGCUCAUGCACAAUGCAAUUGCUCAAAAAAGGAUAUCUGAGGCAGAAUAAAUAAACAUGUACAAACCACUAGAAGAAGAACCUGAUUCACUGCUGGAGCUACUGGAACUACGGCAUCUACUGUUUCUAUGGGUUAAAUCCUUCUCUAUUUCUACAGGAGGGUAGCCAGAAGUGGAAGGAUCAUUGCCACCAACUAUAUCUACGACCUCAUCAACUUGAUCAUUACCUAAGAAGAAAGUGAAAAAAAAUCGGUUUCUGUGAUGAUUUGGUUUACUACCUUGCUAUCGGUAAAUAAACCAGCAACGCACAGAUGAGAAGUAAAUUACCUUUACAUGGCUGCAUGGAUGAGUUGCUAAACCCUGACUCAUUAAGAAACUACAAGGGAAAAGAAAAAGCAAAAUAAUCAAUGCCAAUAUUGCAUUCUGGAUAGAAAAAGCACCAAGAUAUAAGAGAGAGAGAGAGACAUAGGAAUACCUCCAUUUCACAGGGCUCAGCUUUUGCCUGGUUUUUCUGCUUCUCCAGCAAAUAAUCAUCCAAAAGUUUUCGCAAUUUGAACAAGGUUUCAUCACUGAGAGCAUCAAUAUCAAUCUCAAUCUCAUCCUCACUCAUUUGACCUUCGGUAGAACUAUGUUCUUUAAGGAAGUCAACAAUGUUUUCGGGCAAUUCACCCAACAAAGACUCUAAUUCUGUGCUCAAAUACUGCUUUUGCUGAUUGGUCAUGAUCUGUCUAACGGGCUCUGGCCCAACCAUAGUGUCUUUCGGGUUUAUUUUGUUCUUUUUCAAAGGUAAAAUGUCACUAUUUGUUUCAACUUCUAUAGGCACAGCAUCAACAUGCAUGGUUACGGGAAGCUUCUUUUCUAUUGCUUUCCAUCUUACUUCAAAAUAUUUACUUAGUGUCUCGGCCAUGCAGUGUACAUCAUUUCCAGGUGGGUUAUAUGUCAUUGCAUUUGAGAAUGUAAGGCGAACAUCAACAGCAAAGUCUGAUGGACUCGAAUACUGCCCUGAAGCUAUCUUCUUCUUCACAGUGCCCAAAUCCAUAGGGUGCUUAAUGACAGUGAAAUAAUCCGGAAUGUUCAACUUUACAGCAUCAACAGGGUUGUUAAAAACCCAACCAUAAUUAUGUUGCAUCAAACGGUUAAGCAAAGUCUCACACUGCUUCAUCAAAUAAGUAUUUGAAUUAUUCACUGCCACAGUUGGUUUCUGUUCAAGACGAGUGGAUGUGCUCUUUUUUGGGCGGGCUCCAUUACGUCCUCCAAGAGGCCGUUUCUUCGCUUGCAAACUCAAUACUUCUACCGACCGGUUAAAAUUCUCAAGUGGAGGCCUCUUCUUCCCAUCACUGCAACUCCUGUUAUCAGUAGACGGUGAUAAAACAACAAAACUGGAUCCCACAGAUGAGCCCAAAGAAGCAACUUUCUUCUGUAGCACUCGAACCUGUUCAAGCUCCAUUUUUAAUCUCAAUUCCAAAUCCUUUCUCUCAGGUCGUGACAUCUUAGACAAUGGCAAUACUUGUGUGGGGACACCAAAAUUAUCAUGACUAUCGGAAUUCAAACUUAUACAUUUCCUUUUAGGUGCAUAUGAAUCCUCUGAUGCUGUCAUCUCUGUAUCAACCCGUCCAGAGCUCCCAAAGCCCUCUGAUUCACCCAUGGUCUCAAUGACAUGCUGGUAACCAGGGAAAAAACCAGAAGAAUUCCCUCCCUUAAAAUGCUCUCUAGACUUCCGCAUCAAUUGUGAAAAUGAACACUUUCUGUAUUCCUUCUGUCCUGUGUAUUCUAUAGGAAUAGCUGGUGCCAUAAGAUUAACUUCCAAUGACUGCACAUAUCAACCAACCCAGUAAUACUUAUAACCUUCCACUGUUUAUUCUAUCAAAGCCCAGUCUGAAUUCGUUUGUUAUAACCUCGAAUUCCAAAUGUUAACUUCUUAUGUAUUUAUUCAAAUUCUUUCAAAAGUUCACAAAUGGGCAGUUCCUUACUCCUCAAAAGCAUUCAAAUGGGAAAAUUGGAAAUUUUCAACCUAACCAAACUGUCCUUUACACUCCAACCAAACACCAAUCUCAAAUCUUAGGCUUCACAUUCGUCAAAUAGUAGAAUGUUCAAUUAUAAACCUAAUAAAAACACCAAUCAAUAUCUCACAAAGGAAACACAAAAUUAUGAUCUUUCUUGAUAAGUCCUCAAUCGAAGCCACCUCGAGAAACCCUAAAAUUCUUUCUUCCCUUUGUUUGCCGCUCAAAAAUUUAACUUCUUUUUCCCUCGUUUUCGAACUAAUAAUUGAAACGAAUUGGCUAUUCAAGAAAAUAAGAAAGAAUCAUUACUUACAAGAGAAAAAUCAAUUCAAAAAUUAAUCUAAGCUCGUUUUGAGCAUAACCCUUUAGAAAUGAGAUCGGAUCCAACGAAGAUAGGAAGAACGAAAUGCGGCUAAAACCCUAAAUCAGCCCCACAAGAAUCUCAAUUUCGAAACCUGGAUCUCGCAACAGCGCCGUUGAUUUUCUCGAUUAGAAACCCUAGAGAGAGAAACUGGAACUCCCCUCCCUCGUCGAAUCUUCGCUUCGCAGCGCGAGCAAAAAGAGAGAGAAAACGAAAGAGAAAGAGAAAGAGAGAAGUUGUAAUCGUUGAUGGGCUAAGCGUUCGAGCUCACCUCUCUACUUAAAGGCCCAAAGGCCACUUCAAGCGCCGCUAUUGAACUCAUCCCAGCCGUUGAUUCGUUUAAUUGGUGAAAUCUAGCGGUUACUGUUUUUAUUUCCAUAUCCACCGUCAGGGUCUAGAUCUGGCGGCUGUUAUAAUUCUCGGACAAAUCUUGAUGACUUUCCCAGAGUUCUAGAUUACAAAAUCCAAUUGUGAAAGAAAAAGCCAGUAAGAGAUACGCUCUCGAGUAAAAAAUAUAAAUUACUCGCUUAGGCAAAAGAACACAUUUUAACGGUUCUCGUAAAGGACAGGUGGCAUACUAAUAUCAGCGAGUAAAGAAAUCUAUUGGGAAUGUGGGAAGUAAAGAACAUUUACCAACCACGUGUCUGCAUUGACUUUACUGUCCGUGAUACUACUUUUUCCACGAGUGCUCAAUUUGGAGCUGUGCUCAGCCAAUUCUUUUGCCACCUUUUCAUAACAAAAGAUUCAAAAACCAAUAUAUAUUUUUUUACAUAAAAGGAAAAUUAUCUCUUAUCACGUGUAUUGAAAAUUAUUUCAUUCAAUAAUUAUAUUUAAAUGAUUUAUUAAUAAAAUAUUAAAAUUUUAAUUUUAAAUAUUAAAAUUUAAUCUUGUGUGAGUAUAAAAAAAAUUCUCAUGCAAUGAAAUUUAUAAGAUUUGAAUUGAUAAUUUUUUUAUAUUUUUUAUAAAAAUAUAUUGAAGAAUUAAAAAUUAAAAAUAAAAAUAUCUAUUAACGAAAUGUUUAUUUCUUUGGCAAAAAACAUCAUUAAAAAAAUUUAUCUCAUUUUAUUAAAUUUAAAAUAAUUAAUAUAUUAAUAAAAACAAAUUCGAUAAUAUUUUAAUUCCACCAAUAAAAAUUAACAACUCCGCCCAUAAGAUAGCUAUUGGGCCUGGAUUGACAGCAUAAUGGACUCCAGAAAACCUUAACUCAGUUGUGGAAUCGUUUGGAACUUCAAAAUCUGAAUGGACGGGGUCUUGCCGAUCAAAUGCUCCCUUCCAACUCCAAAGGACAGUCCCGCAAUUUCCAAGUCCUGCGCCUUUUUUUUUUUUUAAUUUAGAUGAGGAUACAUAUUAUUUUUAUUUAGGAAGAGAAAUUUAAUUUUAAUUUUUUAAUUAGAAAAUCUAAAUUUAAAAUAAAAAAAUAAUUGCAAACACUGUAGUUUGAAUCCAAUCAAAUAAAAUCUUAGCGUUAGAGCAUUGGUGCAUAAGUGAACCGAGGACAAGUAACGGCAGAACUUAAGGGGGAGAAAAAAAUAAAAAAAAUUAAAAAUCGAUUCAAAAUCAUAAUAUUAGAUUUGGUUUGAAGUGAUUUUUUUAAAUUCAAUUCAGAUAAAGGUCGGAUAUUAAAUAUAUAUAUUAUGGUUCGAAUUCAAUUUUGGAUCGAAAGGUAAAAAAUAAAAAAAAUAUUAAACUCAAUGGAAUUAUAAAUUUUUUAGUUUUUAUAUAUUUUUUAAAAAUUUUAUAAAAUAAAAAUAAUAAUUUUAUAUCAAAAUCUACUUAAAGAUAUUAAAUUUUUAUAUUAAAAUAAUAUAUAAAAUUAAAACUUAAAAAUAAGUAAACUAAAUUAAAUCAAAUCAUAUAAUUCAAUUCGAUUAGAUUCAAAUUAAAUAAAAAUUCAAUUGAAAUCAAAAUUUUAAUUUUUAUAAUAUUAUAUAAUAUUUAAAAAAAUUAAAUCGAAUUCAAUCCGAAUCAAAUCAUUAUAAUCUCUAUCAAUACCCUCUUUGGCUGCUGAAUAAUUGCAGGCAAAUUCAGCCAUCAGAAAUAAAACGUUACAUAAAGCUUUUUCUAUUAGUUAAUACAAUGUAUGUACACAUGCUAGAUUUUUAUUUAUCGUAAUCGAUGACUUUAAAUUAAAAAAAAAGUUUAAUAUUUGUAUGCUGCAUAUUAAAAUUAUAAAAAUUUAUAUUGGUCAAAUAAAAUGAUUAGAUGUGUGCAUUAAUUAUUAAAUUAAAUAUUUGAAUGAUAACAAUUGGAUAAGUACCAAAAAAAAUAAUUAUUAAAUUAAUUUAUAAAUUAUUUACCUUUCAUAUUAAAUAAAUUAAUAAAUUACAUGAGCUAUAAUUUAGAAAACUCUGGAGAACAGUUUAAUUAUAUUUAAAUCUAAUUUAACUUCUUUCGAAAGUAAUUGUUUUUAGAUCUGGUUGAAUUUCUUUUGUUAAGCUAAAAAAAAUUAUCACUUUUUAAUUUAACAACAUUUUUAACACUCAUUUUUCAACUUAAACUUUUUUUUAAUUAUAAACCAUUUUUUUUAAUGUAACAACAAUAUUAACUGCAACAACAAUCCUGACCUUAGCCCUUGGAAGACUUGAGUAGACACAUAUAAAGUGCGAUUACAUGACAAAGCUGUGAGAAGGAAGAGUCGGAGACAAAACAAAAACCAAAAGAUAUACAGCACGAAGGAAUAUUAUUGCAUAUGUCGUCAUGCAUAUUUGAGUUGCCGAGUGAGUACGUCAGAACUGAGAAAUGGUAGCAUUGAAAAAGAAAGGCUCCCAUUGGAGGAGUAUUGGAGAAUGGAGAAUAAACACCUGCCCUAACCAAGCAAAGAAUAAAAACCCAGAUUCGUCCACCUGUCCAACUGCAUGUUCCUCUUCUCUGUUACUUCACACCUGUAACGUCCUUGAAGCACAUACUUUUCUCAUCUGCCUGUUUCCCUGUUUUCUUUGUCCAUUUUCUUGUUUCUUUGUCAUCCUAUCUCAUCUACUCUCCCCCUUCUCUGUAAGAUUUAGCUUUGAACUAAAUCUAUAACGAGAGAAAGUGGGUACUGAAAAACUCAACAUAAUAUAACUACUGGAAACUGCCAAAGGCCAAUCAGAAUCCAUUUUCAGAUCCUCAAAACGUUAACAACUAGAGUAAACAAAGAAGUACUGGCAUAAAAUAAAACCAUCUACAAUAAUAUAAUAAUAAUUACAUAAAAUAUGGGUACUUUCAGUUCCUUUUAAAUCCCUUAUGAACAAAUGUUAUAUCUCAAAAUUAGAAAGAGACAGAGAACAAGAAAAUCCCCUACAUAAAAAUUAUUCACAAUUCAAAAGCAAAGUUGGAUGUAGAUAGUAAGCUUGUCGUGCAUUAAAAGAUUGUGGUUUUUUUUUUUGUUUAGCGGCCCAGGAAAAGAGCGGCGUUGAUAUCAAGCCUCCAUGCAAAUCCACCGCCGUCCAUUCUCCAAACAUCGCAAGGCAGAGUCAAGGAACUCGUAUCCUUCCCACAAGAGUACUGCACCCUUACCCUGCAUGUAAACGCCGGGUAUGUUGUCAUCGGCAGCCUCUGCUUCAUCACUAACCACACCAUCGUCUCCCCUCCCACCAUUUCCUUGUACGCACCGUUGGUCCACGUUACCCUCCCAGUCACAUCAGAUAUAAAGCCAGGACACGUGUCCCUCCCCAGAUUAACCUUCCGCUCUUCGUCCGUACUUCCCAGCCCAUCCCCACUUACCCACGUGUCUGUCACGCAUUCCACCGUGACGCACGAACCCAGCACCCUCACCUUCCUCGGCGCCAUCAACAUCGCCCGAUCUGCUAACGCAUCACAGCCGUAGAAGCCCCCGUUUUUAUCAUCAGCUUGACCAAAGCUUAACCACAAAGGCAUCACCUUUUGGACCACUCCCUUUUCCUCCUUCAAAAUCGAGUCUUUGCAGUCAGGGGUUUCAGGAAGAAGCGGCAAAGUAACUAUUUUCUCUUCGCUCAAAACUCUUCUUUUUCGGUUGCACCUCUUUGUAUAACUCAUAGUAUUACUUUCUUUGGAGUGUCUUCUUUUGCCUCUCCCUGAUUUAGAAUAAACCUCAGUGUUCUCCUUGGUUGGAACCGAGCCACCGGUCGCCGGUUUGGGAGCAAUCGGUCUGAACCGGAGCAUUAUCCGAUCCACUUUUGACAUAUCGUAAACCCCAGCAGCAGCAUAUCUCGCUAUGCAACAUCCUCCUCUACCCUCCAUUUUUUUUCACUUGUGAAAAUCUCACACUGUUUCGCCUUUCUGUGCGUGUCCAGGGUUAGGACGAUUCAUGCGCACUAACUGGUGAGGAGACGGAGAGAGAGUGGCGAGUUAUAAGGAGAAUGGAGAGGACACGUGUGUGAAUAUUGGGAGUCGACAAGCAAAACGUGGCAUUUAGGUGGGGCCCAGCGGCAUGGAACGAGGGUUGAGUGGACCCCAAGGGAGAGCCAAUAGGAAGGCAAGGAGUGUCCCUGUUAUCGGCGCUGAGCGGAGGCAAGUAGGUCUCGAGUCUCACGCUUAACUGCUUACGUGUUAAUCGUGGGAGUUAAAGGACACGUGGGCCAAUGGGGAUGGGCUUUCCCGUUCCAAAAAUAGUAGGGUUGGAGAUGCGUGACGCGUGGACGGUAGAUGACGACACGUAUCUCGGUUUGAUUGGGAUGCGUGACGUCAGAAAAUUUUGGUCUAUCGAAGAGGCAAGUGGUGCGUGGGGUGGGGGAGGGACGACGUGGACGAGACGAUAUUUUCUCUUGCUCCGUGAUUCGGUGUCAGGAAAAUGACUAAGUUUUUUAAGAUAUUGUUAAUGAACUACCGUCGUGUUUUAAAUGUGUUUUUGAUAAUGGCCUUUAGUUUACGCAUGGUACAAAAAUGGAUUCUGAUAAGUUACAAUCGAAUUUAUUUGUCGUGAUAUAAAAAUAUAAUUUAGAGAUUUGAACGGAUUCAAAAUUUUAAUUA